UAAAUGGAAGCCAAAAUUCGAGGCACCUAGCUGUUAACUAGAUUAUUGCUAUCUCUUUUAGCCCAUUUAG
rnacentral:tRNA from 1 species